rnacentral:rRNA from 1 species
CAAUGAGAGCGGCGCACGGGUGAGUAACACGUGGGAACAUGCCCUUUGGUUCGGAAUAACUCAGGGAAACUUGAGCUAAUACCGGAUAAGCCCUUACGGGGAAAGAUUUAUCGCCAUUGGAGUGGCCCGCGUCCGAUUAGCUAGUUGGUGAGGUAAAGGCUCACCAAGGCGACGAUCGGUAGCUGGUCUGAGAGGACGACCAGCCACACUGGGACUGAGACACGGCCCAG